rnacentral:rRNA from 1 species
GUGUCAGCAGCCGCGGUAAGACGAACCGUGCGAACGUUAUUCGGAUUCACUGGGCUUAAAGCGCGUGUAGGCGGGCCGAUGCGUCCGUGGCUGAAAUCCCCCGGCUCAACCGGGGAACGGGCCCGGAUACGAUCGGCCUGGAGGGGCGUAGGGGGAGCUGGAACUUCCGGUGGAGCGGUGAAAUGCGUUGAGAUCGGAAGGAACGCCCGUGGCGAAAGCGAGCUCCUGGACGCCUUCUGACGCUGAGACGCGAAAGCCAGGGGAGCGAACGGGAUUAGAUACCCCAGUAGUCC